AUAUACAUAUCAUAUUAUCGCAUUCAAAACAUAAAAAGGCAUUUGUCUUUCAAGUAUUACAUAUUUACAUAUCCAAAAUAAGAGCAUAAUAAAAAAUAAAAAAUAAAACAUUAGAACAUUACAAAAUAUCAAAUGUUCAAAAGAUUUGCAAAAUUAAGAGAGUUAUGUUUCAAGGUUUGGAACCUUGCACAUUUUCUUACAAUCAAACUCUUCAAUUUUCAUCAAUCACCAUGGAAAACGGUAUUGGAACUUUGGCUUGAUAUAUUGUCUUCAAGAGUUAUAUUGAUGAUAUUUUUAGUGAGGCUUUUUACAUUAGCACUCUCUUCUCAUUUAUCCUAUGUUAAUUGUUUAAGUAAAGUCUUUAAUAGUUUUUUUAAUUAAUGUAGAAGUGUGAAAAAUAUAUAAAUGCUCAUAAUGACAAGCUUUACAACUUUCGUGAAUGGCUUAACUUUGAAAUGUGCCACUAUAAUAAUAUAAAUCAUAGAUCAAAAUUUAACCAUCAAUUGUUGUUUACAUUUAUGCUUCAUUUUUUCUCACCAAUUUUUUUUUUCUUUUCAGAUUUUCUUUUUUGAAAACAUGAUCUAUUAGAGGAUACAGGAAGAUGAACGGUUCGGAUUGUUGAUAUUAUGUUCAGAGUUUUACCGUUAGUGAAAAUAUUGCUUGGUGUUUAUAAAGUCUCUACAAACUAUAUAACAUUGACUCAUAUUUCAAUUAACCGUAAAUACCAGGAUGUGAUAUCAAAGAUCUGAACUGUUCAUCUUCCUACAUCCCCCAGAAGAUCAUGUUUUCAAAAAAGAAAAUUUUAAAAAUGAAAUUCAAUAUAGAGAAUAAAGCCUAAACGACAAUCGAAGGUUAAAUACAAAUUUAAGGUUUAUGGAUUAUAGUGUCGGAUUUCGAAGUUGAUCCCUUUACGAAAGUUGUAAAGCUUGUCACUACUAGUGAUUGUAUUUUUUUUUUUUUUUACAUUUCUUACACUUCUACAAUAAUUAUUAUUAAUUUUAUUACUUUUACACUCAAAUAAAAAACACUAUUCAUGACGGUUUAGAGGGUUUUAAAAAUCUAAACAAUAAUGUAAGUGUAACCAUUGUUUACUCAUAGAGGAAUGAUGAAUCACGAGUGUUUAUAUAUUCUUUCACAUUUUGCAUACUUGUAGGGAUGUCUUAUUGCCUAUACUAAUACUAUACUAGUUGAUUUUAAUUUUGGACAACAUGUUAAGUAAAAUUUAUCCUAUUAAUGAUAAUAAGAAACUCUCAUAAUAAAAAUAAAUAAAUGAAUAAAACUUAAUUUUUUUGACUUAUAUAGAAUAAGAAUACCAAAAUAUAUAUUUAAUAUAGAAUAUACCAAUAUAUACAAUAUGGCUA
rnacentral:lncRNA from 1 species